CCUAGGGAGGCAGCAGUGGGGAAUAUUGCGCAAUGGGCGAAAGCCUGAAGCAGCGACGCCGCGUGAGGGAUGAAGGUCUUCGGAUCGUAAACCUCUGUCAGCAGGGAAGAACGGUCACUGUGCUAAUCAGCAGUGAAUUGACGGUACCUGCAAAGGAAGCACCGGCUAACCCCGUUCCAGCAGCCGCGGUAAUACGGAGGGUGCGAGCGUUAAUCGGAAUUACUGGGCGUAAAGCGCGCGUAGGCGGUAUGUGAAGUCAAGGGUGAAAUCCCCGGGCUCAACCUGGGAACGGCCUUUGAAACUGGCAAACUGGAGUGUGUAAGAGGAUAGUGGAAUUCCAGGUGUAGCAGUGAAAUCCGUAGAUAUCUGGAGGAACAUCAGUGGCGAAGGCGACUAUCUGGCACAUAACUGACGCUGAGGAGCGAAAGCGUGGGUAGCAAACAGGAUUAGAUACCCCUGUAGUC
rnacentral:rRNA from 1 species